UACGUAGGGUCCGAGCGUUGUCCGGAAUUACUGGGCGUAAAGAGCUCGUAGGUGGUUUGUCGCGUUGUUCGUGAAAACUCACAGCUUAACUGUGGGCGUGCGGGCGAUACGGGCAGACUUGAGUACUGCAGGGGAGACUGGAAUUCCUGGUGUAGCGGUGGAAUGCGCAGAUAUCAGGAGGAACACCGGUGGCGAAGGCGGGUCUCUGGGCCGAUACUGACGCUGAGGAGCGAAAGCGUGGGGGAGCGAACAGG
rnacentral:rRNA from 1 species